rnacentral:rRNA from 1 species
UACGAAGGGGGCGAGCGUUAUUCGGAAUCACUGGGCGUAAAGCGUGCGUAGGCUGUUUGGCAAGUUGGAAGUGAAAGCCCAGGGCUCAACCCUGGAAUUGCUUUCAAAACUGCCAGACUCGAAUCUCGGAGAGGAUAGCGGAAUUUCCAGUGUAGUAGUGAAAUACGUAGAUAUUGGAAGGAACACCAGUGGCGCAAGCGGCUAUCUGGACGAGUAUUGACGCUGAGGCACGAAAGCGUGGGGAUCAAACAGG